rnacentral:rRNA from 1 species
GAUGAACGCUGGCGGCGUGCCUAAUACAUGCAAGUCGAGCGAACGGACGAGAAGCUUGCUUCUCUGAUGUUAGCGGCGGACGGGUGAGUAACACGUGGAUAACCUACCUAUAAGACUGGGAUAACUUCGGGAAACCGGAGCUAAUACCGGAUAAUAUUUUGAACCGCAUGGUUCAAAAGUGAAAGACGGUCUUGCUGUCACUUAUAGAUGGAUCCGCGCUGCAUUAGCUAGUUGGUAAGGUAACGGCUUACCAAGGCAACGAUGCAUAGCCGACCUGAGAGGGUGAUCGGCCACACUGGAACUGAGACACGGUCCAGACUCCUACGGGAGGCAGCAGUAGGGAAUCUGCCGCAAUGGGCGGAAGCCUGACGGAGCAACGCCGCGUGAGUGAUGAAGGUCUUCGGAUCGUAAAACUCUGUUAUUAGGGAAGAACAUAUGUGUAAGUAACUGUGCACAUCUUGACGGUACCUAAUCAGAAAGCCACGGCUAACUACGU